GCAUCGAACUGCUGUCACGUGCGCCUCUUCAGUCGUUUGCCCCCGGGCGUGAUCAACGUCCCGGCGGGGGAUCCUGUGUUGCGUACCUGUGAAACGGAAUCCGGAAGUCCCUCGGUCCCUAUCCGCCCGAUUCCCCUACUGGGCGUGGGGCGGACCUCGUAGCAGGCCCCGUGUUCCAAGCACGCACCACGGUCUGUGACGCUGCUGCGGCGCACGGGACCCUGCUCGUUCCCUCGGAUGCGGAAAAUUACGUGGGCGUGGGGUCUCGGCCCCUAUCCGUCCAACCAAGCGUUCGUCGCUCGGCACGCACGACGGCCUCGUGUCGCCUUGACCCUCGCUCGGGCCCUCGGUCCCGUGGGAGCGGCUCAUGCGUCGCGGGCGUCGCGAAGGAAUGCUACCUGGUUGAUCCUGCCAGUAGUCAUAUGCUUGUCUCAAAGAUUAAGCCAUGCAUGUGCAAGUAUGAACUAAUUCAGACUGUGAAACUGCAAAAUGGGCUC
rnacentral:misc_RNA from 1 species